rnacentral:rRNA from 1 species
UACGGAGGGUGCGAGCGUUGUUCGGAAUCACUGGGCGUAAAGCGCGUGUAGGCGGCCUCUUAAGUCCGAUGUGAAAGCCCGGGGCUCACCCCCGGAAGUGCAUCGAAUACUGGGAGACUCGAGUCCCGGAGAGGAAGGUGGAAUUCCUGGUGUAGCGGUGAAAUCCGUAGAUAUCGGGAGGAACACCAGUGGCGAAGGCGGCCCUCUGGACGGUGACUGACGCUGAGACGCGAAAGCGUGGGGAGCAAACAGG